UACAGAGGUGCCAAGCGUUAGGCGGAAUCACUGGGCUUAAAGCGUGUGUAGGUGGAUGUCUAAGUACCUUGUGAAAUCCCAUGGCUCAACCAUGGAACUGCUCGGUAUACUGGACGUCUUGAGCCACUUAGGGGCUACCGGAACAAAUGGUGGAGCGGUGAAAUGCGUAGAGAUGUGGAGGAACGCCAGUGGCGAAGGCGACUCUUUGGCCUGUAACUGACGCUGAGGCGCGAAAGCGUGGGGAGCAAACAGG
rnacentral:rRNA from 1 species